GGACCCGCACAAGCGGUGGAGCAUGUGGUUUAAUUCGAUGCAACGCGAAGAACCUUACCUGGUCUUGACAUCCUGCGAACUUUCUAGAGAUAGAUUGGUGCCUUCGGGAACGCAGUGACAGGUGCUGCACGGCUGUCGUCAGCUCGUGUUGUGAAAUGUUGGGUUAAGUCCCGUAACGAGCGCAACCCUUGUCCUUAUUUGCCAGCACGUAAUGGUGGGAACUCUAAGGAGACUGCCGGUGACAAACCGGAGGAAGGUGGGGACGACGUCAAGUCAUCAUGGCCCUUACGACCAGGGCUACACACGUGCUACAAUGGUUAGGACAAAGAGUUGCAAGUUUGUAAAAACAAGCUAAAUCUCAUAAACCUAGCCUAAGUUCAGAUUGUAGGCUGCAACUCGCCUACAUGAAGUUGGAAUC
rnacentral:rRNA from 1 species